CCUUCUGUACGAAUCCGCCUCCUCCUCCUCCCGCCCGGCUCUCUGACUUUCCAGAAGCAAUGUCCUCGGCGGUGGGCUCCUGAUCUGCAGGGCAGAGAAGCGGCCGUCAGUGUGAACAGUACAAUAAACCAGGCACAUCGUCAGCUGCGUACGAGACAACAUGGCGGGCAGGACGGGGAGCCCGCCACUUCCGGGACAGGCGAGCGCGAGGCGGCAGCUCAGCACUCUCACAGAAGACAGGACGGAACGCAGCAAGAGAGAAACUGAACCACUACCUACCUAUGGGAUGGAGCACGGAGGCAGCGUGGUCGGAAGACGCGCGUGGCAGGGAUGCACCUGCCCCAUCUGGCGGAGACAGCAGCGAGGCAGGAGAUGCUGGGGAUAUGACAGGGCCGGCAUUAGGAGGGGGAGCAAUUGCCCAGGGCCCCCUUCCAGUGGCCUUCGUCAGUGCUGGCGGCAGCAGUUUACGGCAGAGCACAUGCGCCUAUGGCUCCCAUUCCCGCUGUUCAGGCUGCUAGACCUGAUGCCUAUAAGGCAGUAGAAGAGAGCAGGAGGUCUCGAUGAAGUGAUCACAAAUGCCUGUGUCUUACACUGCCUGAGACCCAGCACAGACGGGUGUGCUGAUGUCAUCGUGACUACCUGUGCUGGGACAUGGACA